GAGUGAACAGGCAAGAGCUCAGAUUUGAAAGGCACUUUUGUGCCGUUGUAUUCUGAAGUUAGGGUCCUGAGAAACGAUGCUUAAGUCUUCUGGAAAGGAGCGCCAUGGAGGGUGAUAGCCCCGUCUAGCAUUGACCUCAUAUAGGAUCUUAACAUGGAGUCGAGUUGUUUGGGAAUGCAGCUCAAAUGGGUGGUAUGCUCCAUCUAAAGCUAAAUAUCUGCGAGAGACCGAUAGUAAACAAGUACUGUGAGGGAAAGAUGAAAAGAACUUUGAAAAGAGAGUGAAAAAGUACGUGAAAUUGUUGAAAUGGAAGGGUAGGCCGCUAACCAUGUAGAGCCGUGUUUGGGGGGAAGAUAAAUGCUGUAGAAUGUAGCUCCUCGGAGUAUUAUAGAUGCAGUUCAUAUUCCCACCCGAGCGCGAGGAUCUCAGGUUCUACUAAAUGGUGGUCUACCACCCGUCUUGAACMMSGGACCCYAUGCCAUUUAGUAGAACCUGAGAUCCUC
rnacentral:rRNA from 1 species